AUUCCUUGUCGGGUAAGUUCCGACCCGCACGAAAGGCGUAACGAUUUGGGCACUGUCUCAACAACAGACUCGGUGAAAUUGUAAUUCCGGUGAAGAUGCCGGAUACCUGCGACAGGACGGAAAGACCCCAUGGAGCUUUACUGUAGCUUGACAUUGGGUCUUGGUACUACAUGUACAGGAUAGGUGGGAGGCUUUGAAACCAGGACGCCAGUUUUGGCGGAGCCAUCCUUGGGAUACCACCCUUGUAGUACUGGGACUCUAACCAUAGGCCAUGAAUCUGGUCUUGGGACACUGUCAGGUGGGCAGUUUGACUGGGGCGGUCGCCUCCCAAAAGGUAACGGAGGCGCUCAAAGGUUCUCUCAGUACGGUCGGAAAUCGUACGUAGAGUGUAAAGGCAAAAGAGAGCUUGAUUGCAAGACAUACAGGUCGAGCAAGGAUGAAAAUCGGACUUAGUGAUCCGGUGGUUCUGCGUGGAAGGGCCAUCGCUCAACGGAUAAAAGCUACCCUGGGGAUAACAGGCUUAUCUCCCCCAAGAGUCCACAUCGACGGGGAGGUUUGGCACCUCGAUGUCGGCUCAUCACAUCCUGGGGCUGUAGUAGGUCCCAAGGGUUGGGCUGUUCGCCCAUUAAAGUGGUACGCGAGCUGGGUUCAGAACGUCGUGAGACAGUUCGGUCCCUAUCCGUCGCAGGCGUAGGAAAUUUGAGAAGACCUGUCCUUAGUACGAGAGGACCGGGAUGGACGUACCUCUGGUGUACCAGUUGUCCUGCCAAGGGCAUGGCUGGGUAGCUAUGUACGGAAUGGAUAAGCGCUGAAAGCAUCUAAGCGCGAAGCCAACUUCAAGAUAAGAUUUCCCACCGCAAGGGUAAGACCCCAGAAAGACUAUCUGGUUGAUAGGUCGAAGGUGUAAGUGCAGCAAUGUAUUUAGCUUAUCGAUACUAAUAGGUCGAGGACUUGACCAAU
rnacentral:rRNA from 1 species